rnacentral:tRNA from 1 species
AGGCAUGUUUGGAAAAGCGAAUACUGCUAAUUAAUCACUUCUAUGGUUCGAUUCCAUGGCAUGUUUG